rnacentral:rRNA from 1 species
CCUACGGGUGGCAGCAGUGGGGAAUAUUGCACAAUGGGGGAAACCCUGAUGCAGCGACGCCGCGUGAGGGAAGAAGGAAUUCGGUAUGUAAAGCCCUAUCAGCAGGGAAGAAAAUGACGGUACCUGAGGAAGAAGCACCGGCUAACUACGUGCCAGCAGCCGCGGUAAUACGGAGGGGGCAAGCGUUAUCCGGAUUUACUGGGUGUACAGGGAGCGUAGACGGCCGUGCAAGUCUGUAGUGAAAGGCGGGGGCUCCACCCCCGGACUGCUCUUGAAACUGUAAGGCUGGAGUUCAGGAGAGGUAAGUGGAAUUCCUGGUGUAGCGGUGAAAUGCGUAGAUAUUAGGAGGAAC